AUAAGUUAGCCAUUCGGUGUUUCAAAACUUGUGACUGCUUCAACAAUAAAUAAAAAGAUCUACUCGUAAACGCCCACACUAAUCGUAAUUUCUAAAACCUGUAUUGCAUUGAUUCAACGUCAUCUGUGAAACUCGCUGCACAAAACGUGUUAAAACCGACAUGGCCUAUCCCUGUAUAAUUCAACCACUGCACGCGCAUCUGAUGCUCAUUCCCGGCGUACUAAAAGUCCUGGAUCUUCAUGUCUGCAGGUGUACAGGAUUGAGUCUGAUGACCGUAAAAUUACAAGUUGAUGAAAAGGUGAGCUUUGCGUCAGUUUUAGUCGGUACCAAUUGUAUUGCCCGGGAUAUAUAUAACAUAAGGAAAACUGAUAUAAAAAUACGUAGAAAAGAAAAGGAAUGAAAUGUAUGUAAUGUAAUGUAACAAAGAAAUAUGUCAUUAGUAUACUAAUGAUUAUAUAAAUAAAUUGACAAUUUUUAAGAA